GACGAACGCUGGCGGCGUGCCUAACACAUGCAAGUCGAACGGAGCAAAGCCCUUCGGGACUUUACUUAGUGGCGAACGGGUGAGUAACGCGUGAGGAACCUGCCUUCCAGUGGGGGACAACAGUUGGAAACGACUGCUAAUACCGCAUGAUGCUUUUGAGGGACAUCCCUUAAAAGUCAAAGCUUUAUGUGCUGGAAGAUGGCCCUCGCGUCUGAUUAGCUAGUUGGUGGGGUAACGGCUCACCAAGGCGACGAUCAGUAGCCGGUCUGAGAGGAUGAACGGCCACAUUGGGACUGAGAUACGGCCCAGACUCCUACGGGAGGCAGCAGUGGGGAAUAUUGGGCAAUGGGCGAAAGCCUGACCCAGC
rnacentral:rRNA from 1 species